UACGUAGGGUGCAAACGUUGUUCGGAAUUACUGGGCAUAAAGGGCACGUAGGUGGUUCGCUAAGUUACGUGUGAAAUCCCCGGGCUUAACCUGGGAACUGCGCUUGUAACUGGCAAGCUUGAGUGUGGCAGAGGGGGUGGAAUUCCGGCGUGUAGCAGUGAAAUGCGUAGAUAUGCGGAGGAACACCGAUGGCGAAGGCAAUCCCCUGGACCUGUACUCGACGCUCAUGCACGAAAGCGUGGGGAGCAAACAGG
rnacentral:rRNA from 1 species